rnacentral:rRNA from 1 species
GGGAGCACAGGUUUACCUGUGUGACUGCGUACCUUUUGUAUAAUGGGUCAGCGACUUAUAUUCUGUAGCAAGGUUAACCGUAUAGGGGAGCCGGAGGGAAACCGAGUCUUAAUUGGGCGUUAAGUUGCAGGGUAUAGACCCGAAACCCGGUGAUCUAGCCAUGGGCAGGUUGAAGGUUGGGUAACACUAACUGGAGGACCGAACCGACUAAUGUUGAAAAAUUAGCGGAUGACCUGUGGCUGGGGGUGAAAGGCCAAUCAAACCGGGAGAUAGCUGGUUCUCCCCGAAAGCUAUUUAGGUAGCGCCUCGUGAAUUCAUCUCCGGGGGUAGAGCACUGUUUCGGCUAGGGGGCCAUCCCGGCUUACCAACCCGAUGCAAACUGCGAAUACCGGAGAAUGUUAUCACGGGAGACACACGGCGGGUGCUAACGUCCGUCGUGAAGAGGGAAACAACCCAGACCGCCAGCUAAGGUCCCAAAGUCAUGGUUAAGUGGGAAACGAUGUGGGAAGGCCCAGACAGCCAGGAUGUUGGCUUAGAAGCAGCCAUCAUUUAAAGAAAGCGUAAUAGCUCACUGGUCGAGUCGGCCUGCGCGGAAGAUGUAACGGGGCUAAACCAUGCACCGAAGCUGCGGCAGCGA